CUGCUGUCCAGGAGACUAGAUUUGGAUCCAGCAUGGCGCGGAAGAUCGCGAUCGCGGGGCUAAGAUGGCCGAAUUGGAUGUAGCUCGUGAGGAUGGUAUUUCAGGACACUGCGUUGCUCUCACUCGCCAUGGAGAGGAGGAUCUUUGCCUUGGGAAAAAUCCCAAUCAUUGAUGUGUAUGUCCAGAUUGUGGAUGUUCAGAGGUGUGGCGGAUCUUCUCCCAAAUCGCAGUGAAACCGAUCUUAGCGAUGGCCAAUGGGGAUAUGUUGAGUUCACAUCUCUCGAAGCUUUCCACAAGGCAAACCGGUGGCUAAACCAGAGGGGAAAAACUGAGAAGAAGAUCCGCAGCUUGGAAGAGGAAAAGCGCGAGGAAACAGAAGAGGAGAAGCACGAGGAAAAGUCUUGGAGUGUUAGCGCGCUCCAGAUUCUGAUCAGAUUCACUGAGCAGCUUUACGAGGAGCUCAACGGCAAAUCCAGCGACCGAGAGAGGAUCAAGCGAGCGCAGAAGAUGAUGUGGCUCCAGAAAAUGCUGUAUAGGAUCUCGAGUGAGAGGAAACCGUGGAAGGAGCUUCAGUCCGGCGAGGUGGUCUUCGUGAAGGAGGCAAAAGAACUAUAUGAUCGUGCAGGGAGAGAUUUUGUUGCCGAAUUCAAGAGGAGACAGAGAGCUGGAGUGAACGAUGAGUGUUUGUUUUGUCGGAACCAUGAUGGCAAGAAGAUGAUCGGCCGGGCUGGAGCGAACUCUAAGACGACUAGACCCUAGGUUUACCUGAGAAGAGAACACGAGCAAACUGUUCUAAGCACGUCGAAGAAACGAGAAAUGAAGCUGGCUCCUAGCUCGAGAAGUUGGCUGCAAGGAUUGGUCAACUGGAGGCCAGUGCUCGGACUCUAACAUCGGAGAAGCCAACUCUCAAGAGUCAAAUCCAGAAGUUGGAUCCGGUAAGGCUGUCCAUGAUAGUAGUGAGGAACGACGUAAACCAGUGCCAGAUGGCUGCAAGAUGGCGAGAAGACAAUAUAGCUGAAGCUGCUUGUGACCGGGGUUUCAGAUGGCUGCGGAGACUAUAAGACAGACUAUGCUAGACGUUCUCUCUCAUCUGGUGGAAUGAGGGAAGUGUUCGGACAGGAGCCCCAGGGGAUAAUGGCUGAUGGAGUCAAAUCCGCUGCACGAGGUGGAGCUCUUGGCCAGGAGCACGUCGAGAAGAGGAUGGCAGAGUUUGGAAGCGAAAGGCAAGCCUGGAGAAGCAAGUAACUGGCAGCUGAUGGAGAGGAUCACGGGGCUCGAGGCGCUCGAGGAGAGAGAGACGUGCCUGAUGCAAAGGAAAGCUUUGGGAGACUGAACAAGGAGCUUGCUUGAUGUUUUUUUUUUUUUUUCUUCUCUAGAUUGGAGCUCACUCGAUGCAUUGCAGAUCCUUCAUGCUUGCAAACUUGUAACAAUCGACCUGAAGAGACCAAGUGCCAGAGACAUUUUUGAGAACAAGGUGGGAAUUUAACGAUUGUGCAGUGAGCCGCAAGACAAGGUACAUUUCCCAGUCCCACCACCCUGGGGCUCUUGGGUGGUGGGAAUACUAA